GAAAAAGCUCCCAUGAAGCAUCUCAGAUAAAGAGUUUCUGUUGUGUGAGUAAACAUCUGAAUCCUUGAAAUGAUCUCAAUGGAUGACAUUUCUUCACACAGAUGCUCAGAAAUAGAUCAGGAUGUGUUCCAGAGAAGCCAAAGGCAUUACAGGGAUGCAAAACAGGAGUAUGAGAGACGAGGUUCAAGAGUGCCUGAUCCAAAUCCUGCUGAAUUAGUGGCAAGUUUCUCCUUGACCACAGUGAGUUUUGGACGAGAUCCCAUGCUCUGAUUUUGGCAGUCAGCUUGGCUACCACAUCACAGUCCACUUCAGUUUGAAAUAGGCAAGACCUAAACCAGAGAAAAAGUAGGUUAAAAAUAAAAAAAGGCAUCAGAUCUAUGAGGUCCUUGCC
rnacentral:lncRNA from 1 species